AUUGAACGCUGGCGGCAUGCCUUACACAUGCAAGUCGAACGGAUUCUUGGGGCUUGCUCCAAGAGUUAGUGGCGAACGGGUGAGUAAUGCAUCGGAACGUGCCCAAUCGUGGGGGAUAACGUAGCGAAAGUUACGCUAAUACCGCAUACGUCCUGAGGGAGAAAGCAGGGGACUCGCAAGAGCCUUGCGCGAAUGGAGCGGCCGAUGUCGGAUUAGCUAGNGGCGGGGUAAAAGCCCACCAAGGCGACGAUCCGUAGCUGGUCUGAGAGGACGACCAGCCACACUGGGACUGAGACACGGCCCAGGCUCCUACGGGAGGCAGCAGUGGGGAAUUUUGGACAAUGGCGAAAGCCUGAUCCANCCAUGCCGCGUGAGUGAAGAAGGCCUGGUU
rnacentral:rRNA from 1 species